UGCAGCUUUAUAGUUCCAGGACUGCAUUAUCUUGUAUUCAGAAAGAAGCUUUUCAGAGUCCUAAAUGUUGCAGAAAUAUUUUUAAAGUGCUUCAUUUACAUUCUGACAUCUUCCUCUCCUGAAGUUUAGAGGGUAAUUUGUGCCUUAACUUCGUGGCUGUCUGGGCAGAACCAAUCCCUCAUGAAAGCAAACAGAACACCUCUGAAUCCUUUUCCCACUGCAAGAGGUGCAUUCUCACUGAGACAGAAUUUUCCUGGAAUCCAGAGCAAAUCAAGUCUUAUGCUGUGAGAUAAGAAAAAAGCCCCACUGAAAUAUCUCAGAAGUGCAGGUGAAACCUGACUGCAGCUGUCUUGGGCUAAAAGAACCCAGACAAGAAAAUAAAACCACAGAACAGCCCAGUUUGGCAAGAAUCUUGAAAGAUUACCUCAUCCAACAUUUCACAAAAAAGCA